UCUACGGCCAUACCACUCUGAACUGAACGUGCCCGAUCUUGUCUGAUCUCAGAAGCGAACAGGGUGGGGCCUGGUUAGUGCUUGGAUGGAGA
rnacentral:rRNA from 1 species